AUUUUGGACAAUGGGCGCAAGCCUGAUCCAGCCAUGCCGCGUGCAGGAUGAAGGCCUUCGGGUUGUAAACUGCUUUUGUACGGAACGAAAAGGUGCCUUCUAAUAAAGGGCGCUCAUGACGGUACCGUAAGAAUAAGCACCGGCUAACUACGUGCCAGCAGCCGCGGUAAUACGUAGGGUGCGAGCGUUAAUCGGAAUUACUGGGCGUAAAGCGUGCGCAGGCGGUUUUGUAAGACAGAGGUGAAAUCCCCGGGCUCAACCUGGGAACUGCCUUUGUGACUGCAAGGCUGGAGUGCGGCAGAGNGGGAUGGAAUUCCGCGUGUAGCAGUGAAAUGCGUAGAUAUGCGGAGGAACACCGAUUGCGAAGGCAAUCCCCUGGGCCUGCACUGACGCUCAUGCACGAAAGCGUG
rnacentral:rRNA from 1 species